rnacentral:rRNA from 1 species
UACGUAGGCACCAAGCGUUGUCCGGAUUUAUUGGGCGUAAAAGGAGCUCGUAGGCGGUUCGGUUAGUCGGGUGUGAAAACUUUGGGCUCAACUCAAAGACUGCACCCGAUACUGCUGUGACUCGAGUCCGGUAGGGGAGUGGGGAAUUCCUGGUGUAGCGGUGGAAUGCGCAGAUAUCAGGAGGAACACCGGUGGCGAAGGCGCCACUCUGGGCCGGUACUGACGCUGGAGGAGCGAAAGCCGUGGGGAGCGAACAGG